rnacentral:rRNA from 1 species
AUUUGUACAGGGGCGAAAGCGUGAUCCAGCAUGCGCGUGAUGUAGAAGGUCUUGGGAUUGUAAGGCACUUAAGUGGGAAAAGGGAAUUAUCUUAAUACGGUAGGUUUGACGUUACGACAGAAUAAGUACCGGGUAAUUCGUGCCAGCAGCCGCGGUUAUACGAAGGGGGCAAUGUUAAUCGGGAUUACUGGGGUAAAGCGCAGUAGGGGUUCGUAAAGUUGGAGUGGAAGUCCGGGGCUCAACCUGGGAACGCAUCCAAAACUGACGAGGAGAGUACGGUAGAGGGUGGUGAAUUUCCUGUGAGUGGUGAAAUUGUAGAUAUUGGAAGGAACACCAGUGGUUUAGGGACCAUAUGGACUGAUAUGACAUUGAGGUGAGAAAGCGGGGGGAGCAAACGGGAUUAGAUUCCUC